rnacentral:rRNA from 1 species
UACGUAGGAAGCAAGCGUUGUCCGGAAUCAUUGGGCGUAAAGCGCGCGUAGGUGGCUCUAUAAGUCCGUUGUGAAAGUCAAAGGCUCAACCUUUGAAAGCCGAUGGAUACUGUAGAGCUAGAGUCCGGAAGAGGCGAGUGGAAUUCCUGGUGUAGCGGUGGAAUGCGCAGAUAUCAGGAGGAACACCAAUAGCGAAGGCAGCUCGCUGGGACGUGACUGACACUAAGGCGCGAAAGCGUGGGGAGCGAACAGG